rnacentral:tmRNA from 1 species
GGGGAUGCUCCGGAUUCGACCGGUAGCAGGACUUGAAAGAUCACGUGUCGAAGGCUCGUCUUCGUAAAAACGGAAAACUAAAAAUUAAAUCGUGUUAAUAACAAUUUAGAGCUCGCUGCCGCUUAAGGUGGUCGUCAGAGUCGUAACCUAUGGACGACAAUUCUGGCGUGGUUAAUAGGGUAACGCGUGCAUCAGGUGCUCUGAGAUGCAAACGGGAUUAGGAGCUUGGUUGAGUUAGAGCCUGCGAACUGGCGAUAACAAAACGACAAUAAAAGAUUCGAUACACACGUAAACGUCUUUUGGAUUUUCUAUCGACACAGGGGUUCGACUCCCCUCAUCUCCACCA